GAUGAACGCUGGCGGCGUGCCUAAUACAUGCAAGUCGAGCGAACAGACGAGGAGCUUGCUCCUCUGACGUUAGCGGCGGACGGGUGAGUAACACGUGGAUAACCUACCUAUAAGACUGGGAUAACUUCGGGACACCGGAGCUAAUACCGGAUAAUAUAUUGAACCGCAUGGUUCAAUAGUGAAAGACGGUUUUGCUGUCACUUAUAGAUGGAUCCGCGCCGCAUUAGCUAGUUGGUAAGGUAACGGCUUACCAAGGCAACGAUGCGUAGCCGACCUGAGAGGGUGAUCGGCCACACUGGAACUGAGACACGGUCAAGACUCCUACGGGAGGCAGCAGUAGGGAAUCUUCCGCAAUGGGCGAAAGCCUGACGGAGCAACGCCGCGUGAGUGAUGAAGGUCUUCGGAUCGUAAAACUCUGUUAUUAGGGAAGAACAAAUGUGUAAGUAACUAUGCACGUCUUGACGGUACCUAAUCAGAAAGCCACGGCUAACUACGUG
rnacentral:rRNA from 1 species